rnacentral:rRNA from 1 species
UCACUCCUACGGGAGGCAGCAGUGGGGAAUAUUGGACAAUGGGCGCAAGCCUGAUCCAGCCAUGCCGCGUGAGUGAUGAAGGCCCUAGGGUUGUAAAGCUCUUUCACCGGUGAAGAUAAUGACGGUAACCGGAGAAGAAGCCCCGGCUAACUUCGUGCCAGCAGCCGCGGUAAUACGAAGGGGGCUAGCGUUGUUCGGAUUUACUGGGCGUAAAGCGCACGUAGGCGGACUAUUAAGUCAGGGGUGAAAUCCCGGGGCUCAACCCCGGAACUGCCUUUGAUACUGGUAGUCUUGAGUUCGAGAGAGGUGAGUGGAAUUCCGAGUGUAGAGGUGAAAUUCGUAGAUAUUCGGAGGAACACCAGUGGCGAAGGCGGCUCACUGGCUCGAUACUGACGCUGAGGUGCGAAAGCGUGGGGAGCAAACAGGAUUAGAAACCCCUGUAGUCCCA